rnacentral:rRNA from 1 species
AGAGUUUGAUCCUGGCUCAGGACGAACGCUGGCGGCGUGCUUAACACAUGCAAGUCGAGCGCUGUAGCAAUACAGAGCGGCAGACGGGUGAGUAACGCGUGGGAAUCUACCCAUCCCUACGGAACAACUCCGGGAAACUGGAGCUAAUACCGUAUACGCCCUUUGGGGGAAAGAUUUAUCGGGGAUGGAUGAGCCCGCGUUGGAUUAGCUAGUUGGUGGGGUAAAGGCCUACCAAGGCGACGAUCCAUAGCUGGUCUGAGAGGAUGAUCAGCCACAUUGGGACUGAGACACGGCCCAAACUCCUACGGGAGGCAGCAGUGGGGAGUAUUGGACAAUGGGCGCAAGCCUGAUCCAGCCAUGCCGCGUGAAUGAUGAAGGCCUUAGGGUUGUAAAGUUCUUUCCCGGAGAAGAUAAUGACGGUAUCCGGAGAAGAAGCCCCGGCUACUUCGUGCCAGCAGCCGCGGUAAUACGAAGGGGGCUAGCGUUGUUCGGAAUUACUGGGCGUAAAGCGCACGUAGGCGGAUAUUUAAGUCAGGGGUGAAAUCCCGCAGCUCAACUGCGGAACUGCCUUUGAUACUGGGUAUCUUGAGUAUGGAAGAGGUAAGUGGAAUUGCGAGUGUAGAGGUGAAAUUCGUAGAUAUUCGCAGGAACACCAGUGGCGAAGGCGGCUUACUGGUCCAUAACUGACGCUGAGGUGCGAAAGCGUGGGGAGCAAACAGGAUUAGAUACCCUAGUAGUCC